rnacentral:rRNA from 1 species
AUUGAACGCUGGCGGCAGGCCUAACACAUGCAAGUCGAACGAGUGGCGGACGGGUGAGUAAUGUCUGGGAAACUGCCCGAUGGAGGGGGAUAAAUACUGGAAAGGGUAGCUAAUACAGCAUACCAUCGGAUGUGCCCAGAUGGGCUUGGCUAGUAGGUGGGGUAAAGGCUCACCUAGGCGACGAUCCCUAGCUGGUCUGAGCGGAGGACCGGCCACACUGGAACUGAGACACGGUCCGGACUCCUACGGGAGUCAGAAGUGGGGAAUAGUGCACAAUGGGCGCAAGCCUGAUGCAGCCAUGCCGCGUGGAUGAAGAAGGCCUUCGGGUUGUAAAGUACUUUCAGCGGGGAGGCGUUACCCGCAGAAGAAGCACCGGCUAACUCCGUGCCAGCAGCCGCGGUAAUAC